rnacentral:rRNA from 1 species
UACGGAGGGUGCGAGCGUUGUCCGGAAUCACUGGGCGUAAAGGGCGCGUAGGCGGCGCGAGCAGUCGGCGGUGAAAGCCCGGAGCUCAACUCCGGGUCGGCCGUCGAUACUCUCGUGCUUGAGCACUGUAGAGGCAGGUGGAAUUCCGGGUGUAGCGGUGGAAUGCGUAGAGAUCCGGAAGAACACCGGUGGCGAAGGCGGCCUGCUGGGCAGUAGCUGACGCUGAGGUGCGAAAGCGUGGGGAGCAAACAGG